GACGAACGCUGGCGGCGUGCUUAACACAUGCAAGUCGAGCGGUAAGGCCCUUUGGGGGUACACGAGCGGCGAACGGGUGAGUAACACGUGGGUGACCUGCCCUCAGCUCUGGGAUAAGCCUGGGAAACUGGGUCUAAUACUGGAUAUGACCUUUCCUCGCAUGGGGUUGGGUGGAAAGUUUUUCGGCUGGGGAUGGGCCCGCGGGCCUAUCAGCUUGUUGGUGGGGUGAUGGCCUACCGAAGGCGACGGACGGUAGCCGGCCUGAGAGGGCGACCGGCCACAC
rnacentral:rRNA from 1 species